rnacentral:misc_RNA from 1 species
GUGCAUUCUGGGGUCAUUUUGGCUGUUGGUAGCUUGCUUGGCAAUUGAGCUUGGUGGGUUGCUACUGGUUGGGUGUCUUCGGGGAUGUCUACCGUAAAGGUGCAUGAGUGGUGUUUGGUUUGUUACGGGUGGUUGGCUCUUUGCUUGCGCAACAACUUCUACCUGGCAUACCUCUUCAGUCUUGUGUCAAUGCUUGUAUUGCAUUGAAUGCACGGUGGGUUUCUUGUGUUGCAUGCCUAAUUUAAUGGUAUUGCUUGAUGAAUUGGUUUUCCUUUCGUUUUGCAUUGCCUAUGCGAUGUGAGAUGAACCUUGAAGCAGCCUUUGUGAUCCACUGAUUUGAUGCAUAUGCAUUGAUUUUGUGGCCCAUUGAGUGUUGCUCGGUCUCAUGGAUAUGGAACCUGGUGUGGGCAUGGAAUCUUAACGGUUCCUUGUUUGCCCAAGUUUAGCUUUUCUAAAACGAUUGUCUAUCAUGUGCUAACAUGCUAGACUACUUCGAAUAUGAAUGCUACCUGGUUGAUCCUGCCAGUAGUCAUAUGCUUGUCUCAAAGAUUAAGCCAU